ensembl:lincRNA
AAACAAAUUUGAAAAUGAAAUUUUUUAGAUUUUCUUGUUAAAGCUAUGAAUUUCUCAAGGAUUACCUAACUCUUUUCAAAUAGAUUUGAAACUAUCUUUCCCUUACUUAUAAAUUUGGAAUAAGUUAUUGAAGCAAAUGUGAAAUAUAUAAUAUACUGACAACUUUGGGUCUUUGAACACUCAUUCUUAUUUUUUGGAAACAAGGUUGCAGAGUAGUAGUUUAUGAUGUCUUUAAUUUUCUUAGUCUUUUCUGACCUCCUCCUCCUUUCUGGUGCCAGGUACAUACAAGGCUCCAGAUGACUAUUGUCAAACAAUGAGACUGUCCAGUUUUGAGCAGACUAAAGGUAUUACAACAAGUGAGCAAGGAGAUGAUCCUUUUUGGACAUCAGCAAAUCAGGGUACACAAGUGUCUCCAUCUGACUAUUGUGAAACAGUGGAAAUUUCCUGCUUUGAUGAAACUGAAGGAACACCAGUGUCUCCACCUGACUAUUGUGAAGUAGUGGAAGUUUCCUGCUUUGAUGAAACUGAAAGCGAUGAUCCAUCUUGGACAUUCGGCAAUGAGGAUGCACAAGUGUUUAUACCUGACUAUUGUGAAACAGUGGAAGUUUCCCUCUUUGAUGAAACUGAAGGUAUGAGAGAAAGUGAGCAAAGAGAUGAUCCAUUUUGGACAUUAGGAGAUCAAGCACAAGAAAGUACAACUGAAGCACUAAUAGAAGACUCAUCUACCAAAACACGAAGAUCCAGAAGUAGGAGACGAAGAAAUCGCAGAGCUAGAAGAAGAGAUGAAAAUUCUUUACAUCCAUAUGUAAGAAGUGAAUGUUUAAUGAGAUUUCAUGACAGUACGUCACCUAUGACUUUUGAGCAGGUGUCAAUAAAUGCCUCUAGAAAUGAACCACGUAAGACAUUCAGACACCAGAUACCUAGACCUGUGUUACAAAAUAGAGAGAGGUCUGCAACUUAUGUACCAUCCAAUCAGUUUUCAGGACAAUAUUCUACACACACAGCCAGAAACAGGAAACCUACACAACCGAGAACAAGGCAUACGUUAUUAGCUCCUGAUCUUCAGAUCAACAGCUUUCCUGGAGAAGAUUCUCCAAGUGAUAUAAGUCCAUUCAGACCCAAGAAAGCAUACAAUAGUGACAAUGUAGAAAAUGUUCUAGACGAGGCCAGAAAUAUAUUUUCACGUGCUGAAGAGGCAGGUAUAAGAAGUAAUGUUGGUACCCUCAGAAGACCUGCUUUCAGAAGUUCAAAUACUGGUUUAAUUGAUACAAGGUCUGUUGCAACUCAGAGAGGAACUUUAGGGCGGAGAAUGACAGGAUCUGGUAGAUGCAGUAAUCUGAUGAACACUGAUAGGGAUGUACAGCGUAGGGGCUUACCCCCAACUCAAAACACGUGCAUGGCAGAGUCACAGCGUAGAAGAAACAGUUCUAAUUUCCGUCGCAGGGUUGAACCUCAUCGUGGUGCAACAACCACUUGCAAUCCAAGCUCCCGCUGCACUCCAGGUCCUAGUAGUCACCCUAUGUUCAGUGCCAGGUCUCACAAUGAAAAUCCAGAAGUUGCCUCAGAGACGUUUGAAGGCAUUAAUGAGAGACGAGCACCAGUAGGCUCACGAUCACAGCCCAGACAAGGACGUCAACAUGCACGUUGGCUAACUAAAUGAACCUAACUAAAAUGUACCCCAGCUCCCCUUAGGUGAGCUAGUCCUUAUUGGUGAAAGUAUUUUUCACCCACCUAGAAGAUUUACAAAGCAACAGACUGACAACUUGCCAGUAAGAACAUUUAGAAAAACUGAUGCUCUUAAGUACUGUGCUGUUUAUAUUACACAAUACGAAAAAGGCCAUAAGAUUCGCAUACUAACUUGUUCCCAUGAAUAUUACAGUCACUGCCUUGCUCCUUGGCUAUCGGACAAUUCUACCUGUCCUAUUUGUCACAGUGACAUAAUACAUUAUAAGAACAGAGAAAAUUCUUAAGUUGAGAACCCUCAGCAAUGUCAAAUUACACUGAUGAACAAAUAAUAGUCACUUGCUUUCAGUUUACUUUUUUUAAAAAAGAAGAGAAUAGUUUAAAAAAAGUAGCUAAAUACCAAACUCACAGUCAAAAACAAAAUGAGGCAGAAAUAUUAACAAUGAUACAGGAUUUCAAGACAAAAUGGUAGGAAUUAACAGUGGUUGUUGUUUUACAUAUUGUUAUCUUCAAUGAAGUUGCUCAGUUAGCAGAUGUAAGGAUACCAGAUUGAGCAAACCAUUAAGGAGAAUAAAAAAUAAUAAUUAAAAAAACAGAGAUGAUACAGAGUUUCACUAGACAAGAUAGUAGGAAUUCAGCAAUGGUUGUUAUAUUGCAUAUUGUUGUUGUCUUCAUAUCAGUUGCUCAGAUUAUCCGAUAUAAGCAUGCAAAAUUGGUCAAAAUAAAAAAAAUAAGCAUUAACUGUUUCCUUCAAUAAACUGCCUUUGAAGUGAUAUUUGUACACAAAAUAACAACCUGUACUGAAUAAUUUGUUAAAGAACAAAUUACCCCAGUUUCUGUUUUCAAAAUAAAA